AAGUGGUGCUGGGAAGACAAGUCUUCUUGCAACUGUAAGCUUGAGAACAAAAGGAAAAAUACAAGGAGAAGUGUCAAUUAAUGGUGAGCCAGUUGAUGCUGAAAUCAUGACACGAAUUUCAGGCUUUGUUCCCCAACAAGAUCUUGCCAUAGAAUCACUUACGGUACAAGAACACAUGGAGUUUAUGGCAACAAUGAAGAUGGAUCGAAGAAAUCAAACUUUAUAUAGAAGACAACGAAUA